rnacentral:misc_RNA from 1 species
GAUGAAGAACGUAGCGAAAUGCGAUAAGUAAUGCGAAUUGCAGAAUUCAGUGAAUCAUCGAAUCUUUGAACGCACAUUGCGCCCGCUAGUAUUCUGGCGGGCAUGCCUGUCUGAGCGUCAUUUCAACCCUCGCCCCCGGCUUUUGCUGGGAGCGGUGUUGGGGAUCGGCCGCCCGUCACUGGGAGGCCGGCCCCGAAAUAGAGUGGCGACCACGCCGUGUGCUCCUCUGCGUAGUAGUAAAUCACCUCGCAGGCGGACAGCGGUGCGGCCUGCCGUAAAACCCCCAACUCUUUCUGGUUGACCUCAGAUCAGGUAGGAAUACCCGCUGAACUUAAGCAUAUCAAUAGCGGAGGA